GGCAGCAGUGGGGAAUAUUGCACAAUGGGCGCAAGCCUGAUGCAGCCAUGCCGCGUGUGUGAAGAAGGCCUUCGGGUUGUAAAGCACUUUCAGUCGUGAGGAAGGUGGUGUUGUUAAUAGCAGCAUCAUUUGACGUUAGCGACAGAAGAAGCACCGGCUAACUCCGUGCCAGCAGCCGCGGUAAUACGGAGGGUGCGAGCGUUAAUCGGAAUUACUGGGCGUAAAGCGCAUGCAGGUGGUUUGUUAAGUCAGAUGUGAAAGCCCGGGGCUCAACCUCGGAAUAGCAUUUGAAACUGGCAAGCUAGAGUACUGUAGAGGGGGGUAGAAUUUCAGGUGUAGCGGUGAAAUGCGUAGAGAUCUGAAGGAAUACCGGUGGCGAAGGCGGCCCCCUGGACAGAUACUGACACUCAGAUGCGAAAGCGUGGGGAGCAAACAGGAUUAGAUACCCUGGUAGUCCACGCCGUAAACGAUGUCUACUUGGAGGUUGUGGCCUUGAGCCGUGGCUUUCGGAGCUAACGCGUUAAGUAGACCGCCUGGGGAGUACGGUCGCAAGAUUAAAACUCAAAUGAAUUGACGGGGGCCCGCACAAGCGGUGGAGCAUGUGGUUUAAUUCGAUGCAACGCGAAGAACCUUACCUACUCUUGACAUCCACAGAAUCUUGCGGAGACGCGGGAGUGCCUUCGGGAACUG
rnacentral:rRNA from 1 species